rnacentral:rRNA from 1 species
UUUGAAUUAGAUUAAAUUGAUUAAUUUUUUAUUUAGAAGAUUUUAGUUUAAUUAAAAUAAUAUACUUAUUUUUUAAGUUAAAGUAUUUAUUUAGAAUUAAUAAUUUUAUUUUAAAAUGUGAAUGAAAUUUGUGAAAUAAUUUAAAAUUUAUAAUUUAAAAAGUAAGAUUUAUUUUUUGUACCUUUUGUAUCAGGGGUUUUUAAUUAAAACUUAAAUAUUUAUGAUUCUCGAAUUAAUUAGAGUUAAUGUAAUUAUGUAAGUUAAUGUUAAAUUAUUAUUUAUAAUAGUGCAUUAGAGGAGAAAUUCUAGUCAAUAAUUAAGAUAUCUAGUUUUUUUAGAAAUAAAUUUAAUUUAUUUAUUGAAUUUGAAAAAUUGAUAGUUUUUUUCAAUUUAUUUUAUUUAAUAGAAAAAAUUUAAGGGAUUAGCUUUAAAUUUUAUUUUAAAAACUUUUUAUGGUUUAUUUGUUAAUUAUUUAUAAUAUAAAAAAUUAUAUUUAAUUAAUUAAUUUGAUUAUUAAAAAUUAUAGAUUUAAAAUUAGUUAUUAGUUUAAGUAUAUAAUAAUUUAUUGAAUUUUAUAAAAUUUAAUUUUAAUUUAGGUUUUAAUUAUUUAUAAAAAUAAUAAAUUAAAUUAAUUAAUUUAUUUAAUAAUGAAAAUAUUAUUAUAAUUUUAUGUUGUAUAUAAUUUAUUUUAUUAAGUAAAUUUAUAAUUAAUUUAUUUAAAGAAAUAUAAUUGUAAGGAACUAGACAAAUAAAGUAUUUACCUGUUUAUCAAAAACAUGUCUUUUUGAGUUUAAUUUAAAGUCUAAUCUGCCCAAUGAUUUAUUUAAAUGGCCGCGGUAUUUUGACCGUGCAAAGGUAGCAUAAUCAUUAGUUUUUUAAUUGAAAGCUUGUAUGAACGAUUGAAUAAGAUACUAGUUGUCUCACUUUUAUUUGAGUUAAAAUUUAAUUUUUAAGUUAAAAAGCUUAAUUAUAAUUAGAGGACGAGAAGACCCUAUAGAUUUUUAUGAGGUGAUAUUAUUAUUUAAUUAAAUUUUUUGUUAGAAUUAAUAUUGUUUCAUUUUGUUGGGGUGACAUAAAAAUUUAAUUAACUUUUUAUAAAAAAUACAUUAAUUUAUGAAUUUUUAUUGAUUUUAUUAAUAAUUUUGAUCCUAACUUUUAGAUUAUUAGAAUAAAAUACCUUAGGGAUAACAGCGUAAUUUAUUCGGAGAGAUCACAUUAAUGAAUGAGUUUGCGACCUCGAUGUUGAAUUAAGAAAAUAUUUAGGUGGAGAUACUUAAAUGUAUAGGUCUGUUCGACCUUUAAAUUCUUACAUGAUUUGAGUUCAGAUCGGCGUGAGCCAGAUCGGAUUCUAUCCUUAAUUAAUAUAUAAAUAUUUUUGUACGAAAGGACUUUAUAUUUUAAAUAGUUUAAAUUUAUAUUGAAUAAAAUUAAUAUUUUUGAAUAAUGAAA